GGUUAUAUGGCGCAAUGGUUAACGCUUGGUUUGCAUUAGUGUGGGAAACUAAUAGUGCGUAGGUUCGAAUCUCGCUGUGGUCG